CAUCUGCCAUAUGUUAAUCUGUGCUGCACCCGAGGUUCCAGAAGUAUUUGUGGAAGACAUGAACUUGGAAGUCCCUGCUUCUACAUAUAAUUUAGGCAGUGAGUUUCAAUACCACAUUGAAAAGGGUUGGUUAUGGAGAACUCUGGGCUCUCAGGUGUACAAAUCCACCUGCUAACUGCAGCAUUUUUCUUAAUGAGAGAAGGAAUUAAGUCACUGGAGCAUGAGUACAGGUCAUUAAAAAAAAAAAUCACAUCUGAUAUAUUCAUUCCUGCAAGAUGGUCAGUGCCUUCAUUUCUCAUCAAAGUCAUCGCAAAAUGAAUGAAUGCAACAGAUUAAGAAAUUGAAUCUUAAAUUAUUCAUUCAUUAUUCAGAGGACUGGGAAUCUCUGAAGUAGCCAGGACGAUUCAUAAGGGAGAAAAUGCAGGAUACUGUGGGAAUUACUCCAAUUUUGGACGUGAACUUCAAGUGACAAGGUCAGAUCACCAACAAACUGAGCAACCUUGAGAACUGCAAAAAAAGUGUGUCAGGCUAUAUGGUUGAAAUGAAGCUUUAGAUAAAUACAAUUUAGUGCAUGUUUAGUUUAAAAAUGCCAAGUUUGGGGAAUUCCUUUCAGUAGUUAAAACUGAAAAAUUAAUUGAAAGAUAGUUGGAGAUCGAAUUAGUACAUCUACAAGAUUAAUCUCUGUUGUUCAGGAUCUUUUGGCAGCUGUAAAAAUGAGCCAACAAAAUAUUUAUUUAUGGACAGCUUAGGGAAUUGGAUUUUUUUAGUUGGAAUAAUCAUAUAAGGGCAGAUGGGAGUACAGAAGGUUAAAUUAAAAAUGUUAAAAAAAGUGGAGUGAUUGAGGACAAAAAUAAACUGAAUACAUCAGCCCUUUCAAAAGAAGGCUUCAAUUAUGGAGAUCCUUGACUGGAGAAGGUACAUAAUAUAGCAUUAAUCUGAUAAAAUUUGGUAUCCACUUAACGAAAUUCUUCUUCUGUCUUGCACAAGGGAGAGCUCUUUCCACCCAGAUUGUAGGAGGAAGUUUUUAUCAUCAUCUCAUUGAAAGGUCUCCAAUCCUUAGAAUCAUUUCAGGUUAUUCCUGUUAUGGACUCCUGUCUGUGUGUAUGUGUGUGUCCAGUUGUAAUUUCAUAGGUCUCGACAACCCUGAUCCAAACCUCAGGGUCAAACUUCAGGUUUUAAGGCCAGGACAUUUUUCAGCAGUCUGUGAAUGCAAAUCACCUUUUUCUGCAAGGUUUUCUUGUGAUGUGGGGGAAAAAUACCCAUUUGGAUCAUUAAUACAGAAAAUUACUGAUCUUGUGAGUCUUUAAUAGAGAAAAAGUCAUCAAGAAAAUAAAAACUAAACUUUUAUAAUCAGUGAUUCACCAUGCUUGGAAAAGUAGAAUUAAUAUCUUGAAGAUGAAGUUUUUACAAUGGAUUUAGAGGAUUUUAUGCUACUUUGAGCAUCACCCAGACCUAUAAUUGUCAUUGGAAAAUAAAUAUUUCUUCAUAGAAAAAUUGUUUAGGGCACUGAAUGCAAAUAAAGUACUGGCAAUUUAACAUAUCUACUGAUAUCAUUAUUUUUAAAAAUACAGACAGUUUGCAGUUUC